rnacentral:lncRNA from 1 species
CUUGACAAAUCUAGGAGAUCGGUAAGUUCUGUUUCCUUCUUUACAAGAGGAAAAUAGAUACCCUCCACUGGUACCUAUGCAAGAAUGUUCGACAUUUCCUCAGGACCAAAACCCUUUUUUUGUUGAUAUGAAAAUGGGAUAGAGGGAAACAAAAGUAUAUUCAGAUAAAGUGUACCGAUACAAACACUUAAAAAAUUCAAAAAAACCAUCGCCAUGACGAAAAUUUUUGAUUUUUCUCAACAAUUAUAACCUCUCGUCAGGUUUCAAGUCGAAAGUGUUGAGUGCGCAGUUCGCCCAACAAUUUGAUCAAACAUAUUGUCUGUUCAUCGCUUUGCUCAACCUGUGCUUUGAAGCCAGCGAGACGAUAAUUUUAAGGGUCACGUAGAUGAAUGUCGAAAGUAGAACUUUCCCUUAUCGCUAAGGGACUGCCGGAGCGCCUAUGGUAUAACCAUACCGACAUUCAAAGGAUCUAUUAUAUUUAUCUGUGUAUUCUUUCGGAUGUUUGUAGUCUCGUGGAAGUUACGGCACUGGAAGGGACUGCUCAUGUUCUCCAAGGACAAAUGUGAGAACAGGAGUAAAGUUAAACACGGGUAUUUCAGGGCCGGUCUUGGCCAGUACCAGAUCGCUUCUAAGGCCAACCGAAAGAUCAUCCCCGGAAAAUGUCAGUGCAUGGUAUCACCGGAGCUUAGGAAGUAUAUCACACAAAAACACAGCCUCAAGUGGGAUAUUCAUCGAAGCUGCGUUUCUACAAAGGGAUCCUCAUGCUCGGGAAGAACCGGUGCGUGAAUCGAUGCCGGCUCAAACAUGGGUACUUCCAAGACGCAGCGGGUGACUAUAAACUUGCCUCCGUGGCCAAAAGAGGCAUCGUUCCCGGAAAGUGUAUGUGCAUGGUAUCACGGAGCCUCAGAGCGUAUAUCACUCAAAAGUUUGGCGCAGAGGUCGCAAAGAAAUACGGACGCCUGAACUUCUUCGGCAAAACUCGGCAAGGUCGGGAGGCUCUGAGGAGGCUGGCUGGUAAAGACAAGGGGAUCACCUUCCUCACGUACGAGCAGUUUAACCAGAUGGUCGCGGAUCCGAACAACGCCAACGCCCAGCAGAGACAGCAGACUGGCGGAACCGCCGAAACCACCGAUCAGCAAAUCACAAUACCCAAAAUCCUGGUAGACGAGGUGCAACCGGAUGGUUCCACGAAGCAGGUGGAAGUCGACCUAACGCCCGAGGAAAUCCAGAGGGUACAAGGUUUCUGGAGGGACGUCAUGGAGAGAAAGAAUAAGGAAGCGACGGCGCAGACCGCAAAAACCGCCUGAAUCAUUUGGCGAAAAACUGAAAAUUAUUGGAGGGGUAGCAAUAUUAUACGAAACUAGGGUGUAGAGAAAAUACAGAAGGUGGUGGCAAGUGGAGAAAUGUACUUUUCUACGUCACAGCUAAAAAUUAAGCCACCCUUCUUAUUGGUUAAUAGUAUGAAAAACUGAAAAUUAUUGGAGGAGCAGCAAUAUUAAAAACUAGGGUGUAGAGAAAAUACAGAAGGUGGUGGCAAGCGGAGAAAAGUACUUUUCUACGUUACAGCUAAAAAUGAGUCCACCCUUCUUAUCGGUUAAUGGUAUCCGGGAAAACCGAGACCGCUUUGAAAUUUAGAAAGGAGCGGGAAAGGUUGUGAGGUUUCUACUUAUUUUGGCUCUAAAAACUCGUAACUAUUGACUUUUUAUGAUUCAAUAUAUUUAUCUACCAACGCUUAACUGUGACUGAAAAUAAUUUGUAAGUUAAAAGUUCAUAUUUCAUAUGACAAACAAUUUUACCUCGAUUUGUCCCGUUUUGAAGGUAUAACCAGGAUAAAUCACGUUCUGUACGUCAAAAGGCUGGAAUUGGAGGGUCAUGGUAAUGGUAACUAAGGUACAAACGACUUUCAAUGUUAGAUUCAGUGGCGAUGUAGGUCUUCAAUUCUUCAUACAGGUACCAUUAAGAAAUGCACUUUUAAUUUGAACAGCAUGGCAGUCCGUGCACUUUUCUACGUCAUAGCCAAUCUUCCAGAUGGCUGCCUUGCCCCACUUUCUGUAUUUUCUCUAUGAAACUAGGGGGCUACCCCCUGCCGCUUCGCGGCCCAACCCUCAAAGGGCGCCUAGCGCACUUCAAACCUGCUUCGCGUACUCUUGUAUGUACCUUUGACUAAAUACUAGCUAUUCGGGGCGUGAGAAGAUGGUUCUCCUGCACACUUCAUAGGUUCUUCUAUUUAUUUUUCCGCUGUUAAAGACAAAAUAUUCUAUUGUGGUACUUCACAAGUAACCAUUGAGGAAACGAACCUUUCGAAUUCGAAGAAAACCUUUGUUAAGGGGUUAUAUCAGGGUGGCAAAAUUUCAUGAAAAUAAAAUUGUAACUUCACGUGAAGCAUUACUUUAAAUUUCAGAGAUUAAUGAAAGAUAUUGAAAAAUACCGGUUUCAUUUCAUGUUUCGCAGAAUGUAAAAAUUGUGACUUUCUUCUACUUUUGCGUGUUUGAGUGCGGGUUGCGUACUCUAACCUCUGAAAUAUAUGAAAUAAUUGAC